CCUACGGGUGGCAGCAGUGGGGAAUAUUGGACAAUGGGCGAAAGCCUGAUCCAGCCAUGCCGCGUGUGUGAAGAAGGCCUUCGGGUUGUAAAGCACUUUCAGUGGGGAAGAAAGCCUUGGGGCUAAUACCCUCGAGGAAGGACAUCACCCACAGAAGAAGCACCGGCUAACUCCGUGCCAGCAGCCGCGGUAAUACGGAGGGUGCGAGCGUUAAUCGGAAUUACUGGGCGUAAAGCGCGCGUAGGCGGUCUGAUAAGCCGGUUGUGAAAGCCCCGGGCUCAACCUGGGAACGGCAUCCGGAACUGUCAGGCUAGAGUGCAGGAGAGGAAGGUAGAAUUCCCGGUGUCGCGGUGAAAUGCGUAGAGAUCGGGAGGAAUACCAGUGGCGAAGGCGGCCUUCUGGACUGACACUGACGCUGAGGUGCGAAAGCGUGGGUAGCAAACAGGAUUAGAUACCCGAGUAGUC
rnacentral:rRNA from 1 species